rnacentral:rRNA from 1 species
AUUGAACGCUGGCGGCAGGCUUAACACAUGCAAGUCGAGCGGAGAGAGGUAGCUUGCUACUGAUCUUAGCGGCGGACGGGUGAGUAAUGCUUAGGAAUCUGCCUAUUAGUGGGGGACAACAUUUCGAAAGGAAUGCUAAUACCGCAUACGUCCUACGGGAGAAAGCAGGGGAUCUUCGGACCUUGCGCUAAUAGAUGAGCCUAAGUCGGAUUAGCUAGUUGGUGGGGUAAAGGCCUACCAAGGCGACGAUCUGUAGCGGGUCUGAGAGGAUGAUCCGCCACACGGGGACGGAGACACGGCCCAGACUCCGACGGGAGGCAGCAGUGGGGAAUAUUGGACAAUGGGCGGAAGCCUGAUCCAGCCAUGCCGCGUGUGUGAAGAAGGCCUUAUGGUUGUAAAGCACUUUAAGCGAGGAGGAGGCUACUUUAGUUAAUACCUAGAGAUAGUGGACGUUACUCGCAGAAUAAGCACCGGCUAACUCUGUGCCAGCCGCCGCCGUAA